UACGUAGGGUGCGAGCGUUGUCCGGAUUCAUUGGGCGUAAAGAGCUCGUAGGCGGUUCGGCAAGUCGGGUGUGAAAACUCCAGGCUCAACCUGGAGACGCCACCCGAUACUGCUGUGACUUGAGUCCGGUAGGGGACCACGGAAUUCCUGGUGUAGCGGUGAAAUGCGCAGAUAUCAGGAGGAACACCGGUGGCGAAGGCGGUGGUCUGGGCCGGCACUGACGCUGAGGAGCGAAAGCGUGGGGAGCGAACAGG
rnacentral:rRNA from 1 species